GACGAACGCUGGCGGCGUGCUUAACACAUGCAAGUCGUACGGUAAGGCCCUUUCGGGGGUACACGAGUGGCGAACGGGUGAGUAACACGUGAGUAACCUGCCCACAACUUUGGGAUAACGCUAGGAAACUGGUGCUAAUACUGGAUAUGUGCUCCUGCUGCAUGGUGGGGGUUGGAAAGCUCCGGCGGUUGUGGAUGGACUCGCGGCCUAUCAGCUUGUUGGUGGGGUAGUGGCCUACCAAGGCGGCGACGGGUAGCCGGCCUGAGAGGGUGACCGGCCACAUUGGGACUGAGAUACGGCCCAGACUCCUACGGGGGGCAGCAGGGGGGAAUAUUGCAAAAGGGGCGAAAGCCUGAUGCAGAAACGCCGCGUGCGGGAUGACGGCCUUCGGGUUGUAAACCGCUUUCAGCAGGGACGAAGCUUUUUGUGACGGUACCUGCAGAAGAAGCACCGGCUAACUACGU
rnacentral:rRNA from 1 species